GCUGGGCUUGGUAGCGCGAGCCUGUAACCCAAGCGGGAGCAUUAAGAUGGUGGAAUAGUUUGGCUUGCCUUGAAGGUUGGGCUAGGGUUGCUAUCUACUGUCCUGCCCGUUCCAAGUGGUGAGUUGUACUGUGGAGUCUCUCCGAAAGCGGAGGCUUCACUGUCCUUAGAUCGGAGGGCACCACGUGAGGCUGGCUUCACAGAGCAGCGAUAACCUCCUCCUCACUGUGGUGGAAGGAUAACUGGCCGGUGCAACCUCAGUCCAUAAGCGCAUCCGUAUGACGUAUACUGGAGUCAUUUUC
rnacentral:SRP_RNA from 1 species